CAAUAGCGUAUAUUAAAGUUGUUGCGGUUAAAAAGCUCGUAGUUGGAUCUCGGCAGGCAGGGGGUGGUUCGCUCUUAGCGCUACUGCCCCAUUUGCCUGUGUGAUUGGCGGAGGUUUCGGGGUGCUCUUCGUUGAGUGACCCGGGGCGCCGUCAGGUUUACUUUGAAAAAAUUGGAGCGCUCAAAGCAGGCUUUUCACGCUUGAAUAUUCGUGCAUGGAAUAAUGGAAUAGGAACUCGUUUCUAUUUUGUUGGUUUUCGGAAAUCGAGUUAAUGAUUAAUAGGGACAAUUGGGGGCAUUAGUAUUCAGACGACAGAGGUGAAAUUCUUGGACCGUCUGAAGACUAACUACUGCGAAAGCAUUUGCCAAGAGUGUUUUCAUUAA
rnacentral:rRNA from 1 species